AGAAGAUUGUGAGGGUGGAAAUGGACUAUUGUUUAUUUAAUGGAUCUUAUCUCCAGUAUUUCAUUAACUCAGAGACAGGUGUGGACAAUACACUAUUCAUUCAUUAACUCAGAGACAGGUGUGGCCAAUACACUAUUCAUUCAUUAACUCAGAGACAGGUGUGGACAAUACACUAUUCAUCAAUUAACUCAGAGACAGGUGUGGCCAAUACACUAUUCAUUCAUUAACUCAGAGACAGG